GGGUUGUGAGGUUAAGCGACUAAGCGUACACGGUGGAUGCCCUGGCAGUCAGAGGCGAUGAAGGACGUGCUAAUCUGCGAUAAGCGUCGGUAAGGUGAUAUGAACCGUUAUAACCGGCGAUUUCCGAAUGGGGAAACCCAGUGUGUUUCGACACACUAUCAUUAACUGAAUCCAUAGGUUAAUGAGGCGAACCGGGGGAACUGAAACAUCUAAGUACCCCGAGGAAAAGAAAUCAACCGAGAUUCCCCCAGUAGCGGCGAGCGAACGGGGAGCAGCCCAGAGCCUGAAUCAGUGUGUGUGUUAGUGGAAGCGUCUGGAAAGGCGCGCGAUACAGGGUGACAGCCCCGUACACAAAAAUGCACAUGCUGUGAGCUCGAUGAGUAGGGCGGGACACGUGGUAUCCUGUCUGAAUAUGGGGGGACCAUCCUCCAAGGCUAAAUACUCCUGACUGACCGAUAGUGAACCAGUACCGUGAGGGAAAGGCGAAAAGAACCCCGGCGAGGGGAGUGAAAAAGAACCUGAAACCGUGUACGUACAAGCAGUGGGAGCACGCUUAGGCGUGUGACUGCGUACCUUUUGUAUAAUGGGUCAGCGACUUAUAUUCUGUAGCAAGGUUAACCGAAUAGGGGAGCCGAAGGGAAACCGAGUCUUAACUGGGCGUUAAGUUGCAGGGUAUAGACCCGAAACCCGGUGAUCUAGCCAUGGGCAGGUUGAAGGUUGGGUAACACUAACUGGAGGACCGAACCGACUAAUGUUGAAAAAUUAGCGGAUGACUUGUGGCUGGGGGUGAAAGGCCAAUCAAACCGGGAGAUAGCUGGUUCUCCCCGAAAGCUAUUUAGGUAGCGCCUCGUGAAUUCAUCUCCGGGGGUAGAGCACUGUUUCGGCAAGGGGGUCAUCCCGACUUACCAACCCGAUGCAAACUGCGAAUACCGGAGAAUGUUAUCACGGGAGACACACGGCGGGUGCUAACGUCCGUCGUGAAGAGGGAAACAACCCAGACCGCCAGCUAAGGUCCCAAAGUCAUGGUUAAGUGGGAAACGAUGUGGGAAGGCCCAGACAGCCAGGAUGUUGGCUUAGAAGCAGCCAUCAUUUAAAGAAAGCGUAAUAGCUCACUGGUCGAGUCGGCCUGCGCGGAAGAUGUAACGGGGCUAAACCAUGCACCGAAGCUGCGGCAGCGACACUAUGUGUUGUUGGGUAGGGGAGCGUUCUGUAAGCCUGUGAAGGUGUGCUGUGAGGCAUGCUGGAGGUAUCAGAAGUGCGAAUGCUGACAUAAGUAACGAUAAAGCGGGUGAAAAGCCCGCUCGCCGGAAGACCAAGGGUUCCUGUCCAACGUUAAUCGGGGCAGGGUGAGUCGACCCCUAAGGCGAGGCCGAAAGGCGUAGUCGAUGGGAAACAGGUUAAUAUUCCUGUACUUGGUGUUACUGCGAAGGGGGGACGGAGAAGGCUAUGUUGGCCGGGCGACGGUUGUCCCGGUUUAAGCGUGUAGGCUGGUUUUCCAGGCAAAUCCGGAAAAUCAAGGCUGAGGCGUGAUGACGAGGCACUACGGUGCUGAAGCAACAAAUGCCCUGCUUCCAGGAAAAGCCUCUAAGCAUCAGGUAACAUCAAAUCGUACCCCAAACCGACACAGGUGGUCAGGUAGAGAAUACCAAGGCGCUUGAGAGAACUCGGGUGAAGGAACUAGGCAAAAUGGUGCCGUAACUUCGGGAGAAGGCACGCUGAUAUGUAGGUGAGGUCCCUCGCGGAUGGAGCUGAAAUCAGUCGAAGAUACCAGCUGGCUGCAACUGUUUAUUAAAAACACAGCACUGUGCAAACACGAAAGUGGACGUAUACGGUGUGACGCCUGCCCGGUGCCGGAAGGUUAAUUGAUGGGGUUAGCGCAAGCGAAGCUCUUGAUCGAAGCCCCGGUAAACGGCGGCCGUAACUAUAACGGUCCUAAGGUAGCGAAAUUCCUUGUCGGGUAAGUUCCGACCUGCACGAAUGGCGUAAUGAUGGCCAGGCUGUCUCCACCCGAGACUCAGUGAAAUUGAACUCGCUGUGAAGAUGCAGUGUACCCGCGGCAAGACGGAAAGACCCCGUGAACCUUUACUAUAGCUUGACACUGAACAUUGAGCCUUGAUGUGUAGGAUAGGUGGGAGGCUUAGAAGUGUGGACGCCAGUCUGCAUGGAGCCGACCUUGAAAUACCACCCUUUAAUGUUUGAUGUUCUAACGUUGACCCGUAAUCCGGGUUGCGGACAGUGUCUGGUGGGUAGUUUGACUGGGGCGGUCUCCUCCUAAAGAGUAACGGAGGAGCACGAAGGUUGGCUAAUCCUGGUCGGACAUCAGGAGGUUAGUGCAAUGGCAUAAGCCAGCUUGACUGCGAGCGUGACGGCGCGAGCAGGUGCGAAAGCAGGUCAUAGUGAUCCGGUGGUUCUGAAUGGAAGGGCCAUCGCUCAACGGAUAAAAGGUACUCCGGGGAUAACAGGCUGAUACCGCCCAAGAGUUCAUAUCGACGGCGGUGUUUGGCACCUCGAUGUCGGCUCAUCACAUCCUGGGGCUGAAGUAGGUCCCAAGGGUAUGGCUGUUCGCCAUUUAAAGUGGUACGCGAGCUGGGUUUAGAACGUCGUGAGACAGUUCGGUCCCUAUCUGCCGUGGGCGCUGGAGAACUGAGGGGGGCUGCUCCUAGUACGAGAGGACCGGAGUGGACGCAUCACUGGUGUUCGGGUUGUCAUGCCAAUGGCACUGCCCGGUAGCUAAAUGCGGAAGAGAUAAGUGCUGAAAGCAUCUAAGCACGAAACUUGCCCCGAGAUGAGUUCUCCCUGACUCCUUGAGAGUCCUGAAGGAACGUUGAAGACGACGACGUUGAUAGGCCGGGUGUGUAAGCGCAGCGAUGCGUUGAGCUAACCGGUACUAAUGAACCGUGAGGCUUAACCUUACAACGCCGAAGCUGUU
rnacentral:rRNA from 1 species